GUAAUGCAAAGUUGGUUAGCUUUAAUUGUACAGAUGGCGUCAAAAUUACACCAAAGUUAUUGGAAUAUAGAAAAGAUUCCCGUUAAAUUAUACUACACGGAUUAUUUUGGAAUACGAUCGGAGAAGUUUAAACCAAAAAAAAAACACGUUGAGUUGGGGAGUAGAAACACCAACAGCAGACAUGCUUAUGGUACAAGUCCACUAAAAUCCGGAUACAAUCCAGGCGCGUCGGAAUGUUUAAGACGUUUAGAGAAGUCGCCAGUGGAAAAAAAGAUCACUUAGCGAAAUUUAUGAACUCGUUUGGCAAGAGCUGAUGGGUUGCAUGGUCUACUCCUAUGGGGGAAGCUAGAAACAAAAUCAUAGAGCGUUAUAUAGAAAGAAGGUCUGAAGAAAACAACAAAAGCAAAACCUCUGAAGGUAAUAUAAGGGUCACGUUACAUCAGACACCAAUGGUCGAUUUGCGUACAAGCGACUUGGAGAACCUGUGUAAGGAGCUGAAAGAAGAGAUCUGCGAACUUAAGACAGAAAAUUUAAGAUUAUUGGGACAGCACAACGCAGUUUCAAGUGGCACUAAGAAAGACAAAAUUGGUGUGAUCGUGUAUGAAACAGAUGAGGAAGAGUUGGUUAGAGAAACGAUUGCAUUGUUAAAACCAAAAGAAACUCAAAUGGAACCGGCACUAGCACUUAAUAGCACCAGGGUGGAGAAAUUUCCAACAAAGAAUUAAUGUAACUAAUGUAACGUAGUGAUGUAAUAAGGAUCCUCAAAAGGGAAAGUAUUAACGUGAAGGUAAAUAUGAUGAACAACGAUCAAUUAAAAAUAAAUGUGGAAAAUAUAGACAAUUAACUAAAGCUGUUAAUAAGGCCAAAUUGCAAUUGCAUCUUUAUGAAAAUAAAUUGACGAAACCAAUUAAAGUAAUGUAGAAACCUACAUUCAUCAUUUGAGCCACAGGAUAUUAAAUGUGAAUUUAUCCAAAGGGGAUUUAAAUGCGCAGAUGACAUAAUUUUAUAAAAAAUAAAAGAAAAUGAUGUAAAUACUAUUAAAAAGUUGCUCCUUUUUAUGAUGUCCUUCGAUCACACCGAAGACAUAAAUAAAACAUAUAAAAUAGAAUAUCUUCAGUAUAUGAGAGUAAAAGUUAAGUAGAAAUAAUAGAUUCAGCCCGCAACGCAAGAGAUGCCAAAGGUUCGGUCAUACGCAAAGAUUUUUCCAAAGAGGAGAUAAAUGUGUUAAAUGUGCUGGUAAUCAUAAGACGCCAGAAUGUAAUAAGAAAGGUUUUCAGGCUAGGUGCGCAAACUGUAACGAUGUAAGUUUUGCCAGUUACCGAGGCUGUUUAACUGGCUACUAAGGAAUUACAAAAAAGGAUAAUGAAGGAAAAUAACACACACAUUUGCAUUCGGUGCCAUAAAGCGAUUUCAAUGGGAAACAGGAAAAGAGUAUGCAUAAAUUGUGUUGAUUCAAGCGAUGAAUCAAUCGUCCUCAAAUUAAGAUGCGUUGAAAAUUGUUAUCGUAUACAAUAUUUCAUAAUUUCGGAUAUGUUUGUUGACCAUUAAUUAUAUUUUUUACAUUUAAUUUACUUUCCUUUAAUAUUUAAGAUUAGCUCUAUUGUCGACAAUAAAGAACUGCACGUGCUGUCAAAAAUAUGUGUUGACA